rnacentral:lncRNA from 1 species
AUUCUGGUCAUCUUGGUCCAGCAACAUGAUCCCAGUUUAUCCCUCUUGCCAAAAGGAUAGACAGUUGUGGGGAUGCCCUACAUAAAGACCCUCUGGCUUCCAUUUGAGAAAAGAGUUUAGCCAAUGCAGAAUAUAAACCUUUCAACACAGUUCAAAUCUAUAUAUACAUAUAAAUUAAUGUGAGCAAUAAAAUAAUGAAAUUUAUAUCAACUUGAAGCUACAACUGUACCUUAAAAAAGACAACUUUGGAGAUUGAAAUAAAGAUGUGCUAUUUGAAGGUAAAAGCAAUAGACUUUCACUCUCCAUUCCCAUUUCUGACUAUCACACAUCAGUUUGCAUUUUCCUUCUCUUUCUGGAGCUGUAACAUCACCAGUACAGUUUUAAGUCAUAAUCUUCAAAAACCCAGCACUCACUCUGCUGCUGAGGACACUUGUUUCAGCUGGGAAUAUCAUGUUGUGCUCAUUUUAUGAAAUGAUUAACAUAAACAAAAUUGUUUUAAAAAUCUAUCAUUCUCCAGAUGUACUGUUUUACUGAGAAACCAACACAAGAAAACAUGGCUCUACUUUGCUGCCCAAUUUUAAGGUCGCCUUGGGAAGUGAGAGUUGGGAGGCUUUUUGUCUUUCCAGGGGCAAGAAGUAGAGACUAAUUUUUAAGAUAAAGGUCGUUGGUACCACGGUCGAGCCAUUUUCCCCUCUGAGCACUUAACUCCAGAGCCGAUCCUAGGAAAAGCCAACGUAGUGGGCCAAAUGGAGUUAAUUCUUGUAAAAUAAGGUAGGACAAACUGAUCCCUCAAAUACGAAGAUGUGAUGAGAAAGAAUCCUGUUCCUCUAAGAGUGUUGCUCCAUCCCCACAAAUUAAAGGAUUGUAGAAUAAAUAUCACCCAAAUCUGCCAUUAGCUCCAUAGUUUGACAGGGGGAAGAUAGACUCAAUUAAAUUACAAUGAUUAAAAGUGCAACUUAUUGAACUUUUCAGGUUUAAUUCAACAAAUAUUUAUUUGGCCAUCUACUUCCUGCUCAGCGCGAGACCAGGAGCAUUAAAAUGGUUACUGUGGGAGCCACACAGCAACGCCUCUGUCGUCUCUACCGCGGGGACUUGGUUUAGCAGAUCUAUGUUUCUCCCUAGGCAGCAUCCCAUUCCUCGACUUCCUUUUUCUCUUCCCUCUCCUGGAGCUCUCAGAACUAAAAGAGAGAGCCUUCCAUUUCUCAGUCCUGGCUCAGAAUCAGCUCAGAUGGAACCGCAAACACAAGCUCCAUUUUAAGAGGUUCAAACCUCACCGUUCCAAAGAUCCAGUUUACAUUUGAAGAAACUAAAGUUCCAUCCCUUCGACAGACAAGCCAGGGCAGUGGGUUUUAAGCUAAUCCCAUACUCAGCCUGCCCUGGAACUACCAGAGCCAGCCUGGCGACUUGGAGAUCAGGAGCAAAACUGGAAAUGAUCACGUGGCUAUGCACCCCUCACCUUGCGCCGUUUCCGCCUAGAUCAGGAGGUGGGGCAGGGGAGGGAGGGAGUCGGAGGAGGAAUAGAUUCCGGGAGAGAGAAGGAUGAAAGUGAGGGAGGCAUCAAAAUAGUUACAGUUUUUUGAGUCCAAAAGGGAAGAUGGCACUGAGGAGGAACAUGAAAAGAAACUUUCAGAUUCGCCCAGGUAAUGACACGCUCAGGAUGGUGCGGAAACGCAGCUCUCAGACCUUGCCUGCGAACCAGUUCAUUAAAACAAAUUGCUUCUCCACAGCCCCAGACAGAUUCCAUCAUGAACUUUGGCAGAAGAAGGGCGGGCUGCUCUUGACCUUAGAUACCCACCCGUUGACGUCGGCCAGACCACGGACAGCUCCCGCCCCACAGCUCUUCUGCCCUCCAAGCGCUGGGCAGUCUCCAGUUCCAACCGGCAGGACGAGGAGGUGGCUGCUCAGAUCAGCCUCCUCUUGCUCUGCUCCCUCCCCAGUCACCCCUCGGGUGUCUUCUGGCAGCCUGGAGUCCGGCCUUGAGCUAGGUGUCCCACGAGGUGUCAGAGACUGAGAACCAAGAAAGGGGCGCCCAAUGAAGACCUAGGUCUGCAGCCGCUGGGAGCUCAGCUUCAGCGCCCAAGAGGCAGCACCAGGGAGAUGACAGCGGGGAGAAGGCGGCCGCGGCCCCCAAGAGACGACAGGGCGGAUGUGGCUUUACUUUUCUCCCUGAGGGAGGCUGGCUUGUUAAAGACAGCCCAAGUUGUCAGGUACUGCUUCGCUUGGGGUCCGUGUUUGCUUCUGAGUGAGGGAAAGGUGAAAGAGUCUUGUCAGAAGCCUCUCUGCACAUUGGAGGUGAGAUUUCCCAAGGCGACAAGCUCAGUCACCCUCCGCUUUCCCCUCCACAUCCCAUCUUCAGUGCCUCCUAACCCAGAUCUUUGGGGGGAGGGGUUGGCCAGAUGUGGAAUUCCCUCACCCAUAGUCAUCCUUCUCAGUGUCCCCAUUUUGCCAACCACUGGGUCGUCUCCACACUCCCCUCCUCCCCUAUUACCAGAUUUGCCAAUCCCCAGGUCCUGUGGAAAGAGCUGAGAGGAAGGUUGGGCUACCAGGGUCCAGCUGGGGUUGAGGUCUAGGGGUUCUUGCCUUUUGUUGGAAGGUGGAGAGGGAAUGUGAGAUCCUUCUGCUUCAGAUUGGUCUUCUCUGCUGGCUUUCCUUCUAAGUAUGGAGGAAGAGCUUAAGAGCAAGAAGUCUUCCUGCUCCUCCAAGACUGAAGAAGCUUUUCACAGGUAGAGCCUUUGUUCAAGGAGCUUGACAUUUCUUUGUGUAUGUAUGGUUGGUUGGUAGGGGGAGACAGGGGGGGCAUAUUUCAAUUCAACUGAGCAACACCUUCUAAAGCUUUGGUGAACUCAAAAAGGACUCAGGGCUAGCCCAGGAGACAGUGAUCAGGGUGGAAGACUGGACUUAUGUGAAGGUGGGAGAGGGGGAGAGAAGAUGGGAGAGGGAGGAGGUUUUCUCCCUGAUUGGAUAUUAGAAUGGGAAUACGGACACGCUGUUGCCUUUAGGGAUUUAUAGUUUCAAUCAUUGCUACUGGUUGUGGGCACCUAAACCAGAAUCAGGAACAGGAGAAUUUGUGGAAGGGUGACUAGGAAUCUGAAAACUAAAUACUCAUUUAGGCUUUACCUGCGUAGUUCAAAGGGGGGAAAUCCAAACCAGCUGACACCUUCAGGCAAGUGCUAAAUGCUCUAAAAAGACACUAAUUGAAGACUGUAAAAAAUUUAUUAGCAAAUAUUUUGAAACCACCCAAAUGUCCCUCAAUGAGAGAUUGUUUAGAUGAAUUAUAAUCUAUAUACUGAAAUACUGUGCAGGAGCUAAAAACAAAAUGAAGUAAAUCUGUAAAUAUUGACUAUCAAGGAAGUCUAGGAGGUAUUGUUAAGUGAAGAAAUAUGAUCAUAUUUUCAUUUUUUAAGAGAAACUGUUAAGGGUGUAUAGUCUAUAGGUGUAUUUCUAUGACACGGAGGAAUAAAAAAGACUGGUAAGUACCAGAAUGUUGACAAUGAUUACUACUGCAGCUGAGAUGGGAGUUGGAGACUGUUUUAAAGAGGAGAAAAAUGAUAUGAUUAAAGGUAAUUUGAACUUAAUUCAAAUUAAGUUUGAACUGAAAAGCCUCUUGUUGUUUUUAUUUUAUUUCAAUGAUUUCUGUAAUAAAAAAAAGUACUACUAAAAUCAGAAAAAGCAAGUAGAUGAAGAUAUCAAUUCCUGAUCCAUCUAUCCCUUCUACUCCUUUGAAAUAAAGAUCCACCAUCUACAAGCCAGAUCUGCUCCCAGGGCCAAGGGUGCUCUGUCCCAGCUGAAAACUUACAUGAAUAUGACAUUCCUAAGUCCAAGGUCAGCCUGUUUAUUGAUACCGAAAAAUAAGAGCUUAGAGAUGUGCCUGCUCACCCAGAAAAAAGAGGCAUACCCUCUUUCUCUAUGCAGACUUUCUGAAUCAAAUCUGAGCAGAGGUGAAGUUCUGCCAUUUCCCUGGAUUGGCUGUGCUCACUAACCAUGUCUCAUUUUAAAGGUACUUCCUGAAAUUUCCAAGCGCCGCAGUCUAUUCAAACUUUUGUUCUUUUAAACCUUUCUGUCUAAGGAGACAGAAGAACAUAGUGAUUAAGCAGGGGAGUUGAAGUCUGACUGAACCAUGGUUUUCUCAUUUACUGAUUAUAUGACCUUAAGCAACUUAUUUACUACCUUGUGCUUCUGUUCCCUUAUCAGUAAGGUGGGAAUACAAUAGCACAUAACUCAUAGGUUUGAUAAGAGUAUUAACUAAGAUGAACCUGUAAAGAGCUUAGGAGACUGCUAAGUGUCAGCAGUUAUUAUCACUAACCCUGUCUAGAAAACUGCAAAUCAAGGGGCAAUGGAAACCUCUUAGAGGCAGCUUGAAUCUUCCUAGUGUGGGCAGGAGGGAUGGAGCUGCAGAAAUGGGAAUAGAUUAAGGAUACUUAAACUACAGUCUGUAUACUUAGAUGGAAUAAGAUGAUGAGUUUUAGAUUCAUACUUCCUUGGAUUCAAGGCUGGGAUUUACCAUUUACUAGCUAUUUGCACAUGAAUAAUUAUAUUACCUCUCUGUACAUUUUGUUAACUACAAAAUGUCAACAGUAAUAGUGCGCAUUUUAUAUAGUGGCUCUGAUAAUUAAGUGAAUUCUCAGCAUUUGUAAGUGUUAGCUUCUAUUUAUGUUUUGCCUUCUAAAAGCAAAAUUGCUUCAGAUGCUGUCAGUGACCCACUCACAUCCCUUUGUCCUUUACACUUCAGUGCAGCUGCCAGCUCCUGUAUUUUUCUUCCUGAAAGUUUUAUCGGGAUUCUAAGGCACUUUGCCUACACUUAUGGUAGGUCAUAAGUGCCUCAAAAUUAAUAAUCACUCAUCAGCCUUCUACCAAUGACCAAUAUGAGUUGGUAAAGGUUUUUUUUACACUGAUUCCCAGAGCUUCCUCAGAAGGAUUAAGCUCAGUUGCCCACAAUAAUAGCUGCUUGAUAACUUCUCCUUCCCUGUCUCUCUUUCCCAUUUCUCCAUCUUCAAUUCACCAAUAAACUAUUUGCACUGGAAUUCUUUUCUCAGGGUCUGCUUCUGGGAGAACCCAAACUAAGACAGAGGUCCAUAGUGUCCUGUGGUGAUGAUGAUGGUGGCAUGUGUUGCUCAUACAAGCUUCUGCCUUAUUUCAUUCCAAGAUUGCCAUUCAGAAGCCCAUAUCCUAUGAAAUUAUUAAUUUUAAUGUUUGGUUUUGCUCUCUCUUAACUCAGAUAUCCCCACUUCUCUUUCUUACAGUUUCCUGGUUUCCAAGGAAAGUGCAAGAUCUUGAUAACUGCUUCUAAUUGGUAACCAAAUACGGUCCCCUCUCACCGUGUAAGAGAAAUGCCCUUGUUUGUCUGAAUUUCAUUCCAGAACUUACUAUUUACACUCUCCAAACUUCCAAAAGAGGAUACCAGGCAGCCUUUUCCUCUGCACUGAAAAUAAAUACCAUCAUGCAGGAAUCUGACAGGCAGUCCUCUAUCUUUCCAAAGAAUAUGGCUGGAAAUGUGGUUAUAGAUUUAGGCCAAUGGACAUGUGCUGCAAAACCUCUAACCCAAGAGAUACAGAGAAAGGUAAACUAAACUCUCCAGUUCAUGAGUGCCUUGGAAGGAGCAAUUCUCGUAGUAGAGUGGGUAGCCUGGAGUCAGACAGGCUGGGUUCUUAUCCUGGCUCCUCCACAACUUAAUGUGUAACCUUGAGAAAUGUAUCUAAUGUUGCUAAACUCUGGUCUUCUCAUUUGCAAAUUGGCGAUAAUAAUAAUGUAUACACACUUCACAGUUUUUUUUUCAGGGCUUUAGUAUGCUAAUUCACAUUAAGAACUUAACACAAUGGCAUAUCGUAAAUGUCUAAUAAAUGCUAGCCCUCACUUUAAGUAUUGAGAAAAAUGACAACAACAGCAUUUUGUAGAGGAACCACAAGGGACUAUAUGGUACACACUGAGUUUAUAGAAUCUGGAAGCUGGAAAGAGAUCCUAGACACCCUCCAGCACAGCAACCUCCUAAUCAAGGUAAGGUGAGGCAACAUUCUGCAGAACACACAAUUGGUUUCAGCAAGCAAGCAGUGAUUUUUCAGUACAUGUUAGACAUGAUUGUUGGUAUUAGUAUUGUUGCUGUUGGAACUGCAGGCAAAGCGGAGAGCUGGUUUUGGAAGACAUUAGGGUUAUAGGUCAGUGCAGAGCCUGUUUCUUGUCACCUAGUACGUAGCCACAGGUAACACCUAACACCAGCUGAAAAUAGGGGACCAUUUCUAUCCUCCAGGCCAAGAAUGUGGAUAGGGACCUGUCUACCUUGGAAAAGGAGGUGGGUCUUCCUGGGUGCAGUUUGCCAGAGGGAAAAAUAGGUGUAAUUAGUAUGGCACUGGGAGGAAAAUACAUAGAGACAGAGAAAAGAGCAUGGUUUCUGCCUAGACAAUCUCAGUGGGUGAGAUCUAAGUUGGCAGUUGGUCAGUUCCCAGGGUAGAAUGAGUAUCCACAGUACACAGGUCACAUUGCUGAGCAAACGCACCAGUGGAAUUUGCCCUAGAAAUUUCUGCCCCUUAUCUCCAAGAACGCACAUUGGAGGCUCUAUCCAGAGUGAAUUGCUGGAGUUCUUUUGGAGAUUGUAACUCAAAGAAAGCUGGGCUGCCUUGUGGUCUAUCUUAUCACAGUACAGUCAUGCACAAAAUAAUGACAUUUCAGUCAAUGAAAUGUAUGACGGGGGUCACAUAAGAUGAGUACCAUGUAGCCUAGGUGUGUAGCAGGUCUACCAUCUAGGUUUGUGUAAGUACACCCUAUGAUGUUUGCACAAUGAUGAAAUUGCCUAACGACACAUUUCUCAGAACAUAUCCCCACAUUAAGCAAUGUAUGAAGGUAUUGCUUUCUAAAGAAACAUCAUUCUCAUGGCAAAGAAGCGUUGUUGGCAAUUUAAUUCUUGACUGGAAUUUUUGGAAAGGGUGUUGAAGGGAAAUUCUAUUUCUUUCCGUACAGCAAAAUAAGUACACUGAACUCCAGAAAUUUCUCUCCUUCCUCUUCCCUGUAUUUUCUGUCUCUCAAACUUCCAGCCUAUGAGGGUUUUCUUUCUCUCUCUCAUAUCUACCUUCCUAUCUCCUCCUGACUUUCUAGCUUUAAAGAUAACACAGUGUUAUGGUUCAGAGUGUGAUCUCAGAAUCAAAUCGACUAGCUUUGAGCACAGCACUGCCCCUGUUUGUUUGUGGCCUUGGAAAAGUUGCCUAAUAAUAUUAGUUGACAUUGUUGACUUUUACCUUGUGCGAGACAGGUACUCAGUAACUUGUCCAAUGUCACUUAGCCAGUGAGUGAUAGAUCCAGGACUCCAGCUCAGGCAGCUUGAUUCCAAAGUCCACACUCUUGGAAACUAUGCUAUUCCUCAGUUUUAUCAUCUUUAAAAUGGAGAUAAUAAUAAUACCACCUCAUGGCAGGGAAGGCAAUAUAUCACAGAGUGGUAAGGUGGUAAAUAUAUUAAUUUCCCCUUGACAUCAAAUGUUCUUAAUGGUUCCAUUUUACUGAGUCAACUGAAGUUCGGAGAAGUUCAGUUACUUUCUUAUGGUUACACUGGGAAAUUGCUAAAGCUGGCUGGAUUUCAAUUCAAAUCUAGACUAGGCAUUUCAAUCCUAUACUCAGCCAUCUGUGAAUGAUGUGAUAGCGGGCAUGUUUCUCUACCUCCAUGGGCCUCAGUUUCCUCAUCUUGAAAUUGAGGGAUGACAAUAUCUGUCAUGCCCACUUCACAAAGCUAGGGUAAGAGUAAAAAUUAAAUAUGAAAAUGAAAUUUAUAAACCUUCAAGUGGCAUGGAAAUCUAAGUUAAGUUACCAUAGAAACGUUCUGCUAAGUGACAUACAGCUGGGGAAUGACCAAAGUUUGAUGGACACACCAGACACACUAAGAAUCACCUGAGGACACCAUCGGUGGCCAUUCAGUCUACAGGGGGAUCUGCUAAGAGAACCUGCUGAGGAGUGGACAGAGGCAUAGCUCCCAAGGCACCUGGAGCCAGAGACGCGGGAGAAUAGUGCUUUUCUGAAGGAUAAAAAUCUACCUGUGUUGUGAAAAAAGAAAAAGGCAGAAUUGAGACUGAGUUAAAGAAGCAACUCAAGUUCAUUCAUUGGAUAAAUGUUUUGCAAGCCUACUCUUGGCAAGAUCCUGAAGAUGCAGUACUAAACAGGACAGAUGUGGUUCCUGCCUUCAUGGAACUAAGAUUCCAGCUGGGUGAGCCUUGUUGUACCAUAAAGCUUCAUCAGUGAGACAACAGCUUCAUGAGAGCGUCACUCAGAUAAUCCAGAAAUUAAGGUGCACAGAACUCCUUGGACAUGUGUACCUAACUCUGGUACCUAUGUGGGAGGAAACUAAUCUAAACUGGAAACAACCCUAGAAUGGAUAAACAAGAAUUUUUAGAUUCUUUCCUCAACUGUGCCAUUGGAUCAAACAUUUUAAAGCUCUCUUGGAAGAAGAACCUGGGACCUGUUGAUCAAAAUGCCAAGAAACAGCUCUGAUGGAGGGGAACUAAGGACAGAGAUGGAAAAGCUGACUCAGUAAAAGCUCAGGGAUAACCGCUGCAGCCACCCAACCCUUUGGCCUCUCUACCUUUUUGACUUAUUUCUUCUGAACACAUUAGUUCAAAAUGGUGGAUGUACAGAUGCAUGGCAUGUUCCAAAUAUGUGAGUGCCAGGCACUGUCCUAGGUGCUGAGGAAUCCAUGAUGAGCAAAUCAGACACAGUCCUUGUCUUAAAUUUGCUUACUGUUGCCUCAGAAAAGAGCAAACAAGGAUUUAAUCUCAGCUCUGCCACUAACAAGCUGUGUCACCUUGGAUCUGUAUUCCCAGCAUCCUGUUGUGCGUAUAGCAGGUGUUCAAUAUGCUUCUGAGGACUAAGUGAAAGGAUGAUCUAAUUGAAGGUCAGAAAAGGAAGUGCUCGAUGAGGCCUAGAGUCGUGAGAAAAUUUGAAGAAGGGCAUACUUGAACUAUGCUCAGCCUCAGUUGAACUUUGACAGACAGAGUGA